rnacentral:rRNA from 1 species
GACGAACGCCGGCGGCGUGCUUAACACAUGCAAGUCGAACGAUGAAGCUGGAGCUUGCUCCGGUGGAUUAGUGGCGAACGGGUGAGUAACACGUGAGCAAUCUGCCCUUGACUCUGGGAUAACUGCGGGAAACUGUAGCUAAUACCGGAUACUUUCACUGGAAGGCAUCUUCUGGUGAAGAAAGAAUUUCGGUCAAGGAUGAGCUCGCGGCCUAUCAGCUUGUUGGUGAGGUAACGGCUCACCAAGGCGACGACGGGUAGCCGGCCUGAGAGGGUGACCGGCCAACCUGGGACUGAGACACGGCCCAGACUCCUACGGGAGGCAGCAGUGGGGAAUAUUGCACAAUGGGCGCAAGCCUGAUGCAGCAACACCGCGUGAGGGAUGAAGGCCUUCGGGUUGUAAACCUCUUUUAGCAGGGAAGAAGCGAAAGUGACGGUACCUGCAGAAAAAGCACCGGCUAACUACGUGCCAGCCGCCGCCGUAA